rnacentral:lncRNA from 1 species
AGAAAUGUCACAUGGAAACAACAAAUCUAGAUCAAUUAACUUGCGAAAGUGAAAAUGUUAAAGCCUAGCGCACAUGCUAACCGCCAACCAUGCCUCCUCCCGCACUUUAAAAGGCACUUCAAUAAUACUGUUGCCAAUUCAAAAAGACCCAGAAUCCAUGUUUUAGUUUGGCGUCACAAGAAAUUACAAUCAGUAGACAUGAGGGCCAAGAAAUUCAGAACACAAAACCUCAAGUUUCCAACAAAAGACUACAAAACAUCUUACAUACAAGAGUACAAAAUGAAAAAGCUUGCUAAGCAAAAGCACAACAUACAAAAUUCACAUAAUGAAUACGAGUUACUCGAUGCAGUUUAUAUAUGAAAAAUUCUGGAAAACCAAUAAGAAAGGGCACGUAAUCCCUGAAGUAGCACAAAAAUUACAAGAGUUAAAAGGGCAAAGAAUUGAAGAUUGUAUCUUCUUCUAGAAAUGCUAACAUUACAAACAGGACACACAAGAGUAGCUUAUUACUUCCUGACACAAAGGACUUUUGAUCGAGACUGCCAAGAACAUCAGCAUAUAGAUAUCUGCAUCUUAUCUCAUGAUAACAAAGAAAUAUCAACACUUUGGAUUAAGAAUCAAGAUGAGAGAUAACUCAUGGAUAUCAGGAGAUUGUAAGAAAGAUCUAAAGUACAGUAAAAGGAUUCAUUACAGUCAAAAUGUUGUAUGUCAAUCUAAGUCUUACAAGUAUGAAAGAGCAGCUGCUUCA